rnacentral:lncRNA from 1 species
CCAACUUAUCUCCUUGCUCCCUAAUUCCCACCCGUCAAUCUAUCCACUACACUCUGUUAGAGUGAAAUUUCAAAAAUGCAAUUAAAAUGUCACUUUUCUUCUUAGAACUCAUUCUUGACUCUAAGCACCCACAUAAUAAAGUCCAAAUUUCUUGAUAUGACAUGAAAGGCUUUCCUGAUCAUUUUGCUAUCCACAUUUACUAUAUUUUGCUCUUUCUUACACAAAUCUUCUAUUUUCAAAUAAACCAUGCUAUGUACACCNNUUGAAAAUUUCCACAAUUGUCCUUCUGUGUAGAUUAUUAUACUUCACAAUUAGUCAAUCUAGUGAACUCCUAUAAAACUUUCAAAAUAGUUUGACUUCCUCUUUAAUGAAGCUUUCCAUCACUCCACCUUAGAUCUGAAUAGACAGAAAAGAUUUAUCUUUUACUAUUCCACUGCAACCAAUACAUACUUCCAUCAUGGCACCUGUGAUUUAUUGACCUUACCUUUAUGUGUCUGCUUUGCCUUUUCAUAGUUUAGACUUCUUAAAGGCAGAUGUUAUGUCUUAUUCAUUAUUUUAUUCCCAAGAAAUGGUUGAUAAAAACAAUUGCAUGAAUCAAUUAAUGUGAAUAUUUCUUGCCCUCAACUGUCUCACAGUCUAAUGGGGAAACACACACAGACAUCAGAAAUUAUAAUAGAGUAUGUAUCUGCAGUGGUUGACUUAUGUGCAUUCACUCUGUUAUUUCCAGGUCAAUCACGGGAAAACACAUAUGUUCAUUGUGUACAUGAAGUAUCUUUCUGCAUCCUUUGCAAUUUAUUUCCUAUUUCUAUUAUAACUAUGUAGUUGGUUUUAUAUAUCCCCUAAAUAUUGAUAACUAGAUAAAAUACAGAUCUGAAUACAAUAUAAAAUUGCUCAAACUAUCCCUGUAACAGUUUACUUUCAGAUGAAUGAAUUUCAUGAGAAAUAAAUGAGAAGACACUCCUCUUUAAGAAAAAUGUAUUUUCCCAUGACUGUGUUUUUCAGUUAAAAAUGGUUAAAAUUAGAAAAAUGUUUAAGGUUGUUGUGCUUUUAGCUAUUGACAAAUUGUAAUAUAGGCUAAAGAAGAGGAUACCAAAAUCAAGCCGAAACUGGAUCUGGUAUUUAAAAUUCUGAAUUGUUCCCCAGGCUUCCAUUGUGCUUUUUCAUAUUGGCGUAGGGUCAGCAUGAGAGGGUUGAAGUAGAUGGAAGAGUGAUGAAUGUAAUGAGGGGAAGAAGUUGAGGAAAUUAUUCUGGAACUCAUGAUUUAAGUUUCAAGUGAAGACACUUUCUAAAGGAAAUGAAAUUGGUGAUCUCAGUUUGCUCCCUAGCAACUACUGUAGCAGAGAUGUAAUUUGAAUGCAUCAAUGUGUUUCACA